rnacentral:rRNA from 1 species
CCCUUAGAUGUCCUGGGCCGCACGCGCGUUACACUGAUGCAUUCAACGAGCUUAUAACCUUGGCCGAGAGGCCUGGGCAAUCUUGUUAACGUGCAUCGUGAUAGGGAUAGAUUAUUGAAAUUAUUAAUCUUGAACGAGGAAUUCCUAGUAAACGCAGAUCAUCAAUCUGCAUUGAUUACGUCCCUGCCCUUUGUACACACCGCCCGUCGCACCUACCGAUUGGAUGGUCCGGUGAAGCCUCGGGAUUGUGGUUCUUGCCGCUUUAUUGUGGCGUGACCGCGAGAACUUGUCUAACCCUUAUCAUCUAGAGGAAGGUGAAGUCGUAACA